rnacentral:lncRNA from 1 species
AAAAGAUAAAUGUUAAAUUUCUAAUUCCAAUAUCAUGAAUUUAGGAUCUUUACGUACUUAUCAUGUCCCAGAAUUUACUCAUAAUUAAAUCUAAGGAAAUAAUUCAUUAUUAUCAUAAUUGAUUGAAUAUUAUCGUAUAUACGAUUAUUUAACUAUAAAUACGCAUACACAUGUUCCUGAAGUUUACAACUACUUUUCUAUCAUGGCCUCUAAAAAAAAAAAAAAUUUCUCCUUUUGUUCUUGCUAGCGAAAUCAAUCCUGCUAAUGAUCAAUACAAGAUCAAAGUGCGUGUUAUGCGGAUUUGGAAAUCGUUCAAGACUCUAGAGAUGGU